AUUGAACGCUGGCGGCAGGCCUAACACAUGCAAGUCGAACGAGUGGCAGACGGGUGAGUAAUGGCUGGGAACCUGCCUGAUGGAUGGGGAUACCUACUGGAAACGGUAGCUAAUACCGCAUACCCUCAGAUGUUCACAGAUGGGACUAGCUUGUUGGUGGGGUAACGGCUCACCAAGGCGACGAUCACUAGCUGGUCUGAGAGGAUGACCAGCCACACUGGAACUGAGAAACGGUCAAGACGCCUACGGAAGGGAGCCGUGGGGAAUAUUGCACAAUGGGCGCAAGCCUGAUGCAGCCAUGCCGCGUGUAUGAAGAAGGCCUUCGGGUUGUAAAGUACUUUCAGCGGGGAGGCGUUACCCGCAGAAGAAGCCCCGGCUAACUCCGUGCCAGCAGCCGCGGUAAUAC
rnacentral:rRNA from 1 species